AUGGCUCUCACCUCUGGGCUGAACACAGCGUACUGUAAGUACAGGGUUCGCUCUAUUCCUCCUCGUGUUAUUCACUCUCUCUCCUUUUCUCUCCACAGGUAUCAACUUGGGCACAAUAACACAGUUACUCUGCUUUGGAUGGCUUUCACCUCUGGGCUGGACACAGCGUACUGUGCUAUCUCCGGAGAUCUGAAGCACGCUCACAACAUAUACUGUACUGAACUAGGCUAGGACCAGCAGUCUCCUUGUCCUCCCGCGACGAAGUGCGUGAAGGCGGGGGUUUAUCUGACAGGACACACGGCAAUACACAGCAGCCCACAGCAAUAUACAGCACCACGUCAAAAUUAUAGGUUUUCACAGCAUGAAGACUCACCCACCACACUCAGUGUACGAAAAGGACACCCGUCUUCCUUCACUUCGCUUGGUUCGGAUCUGGCGAUGGAAUAUGCGGCCUAGCUAGUGAUGUCGUCGUUGUGACUACUUCAAUAAGUAUUCCUUCGGCUCUCCCACCACGCUAUAUUAGGGGUAGGGCCGCCCUCCUCCUCCUGGAGAGAUCUACACAACGCCAGGUCAAUAUACAGGGCACUUUCGACUGGCUCUUAGUACUCACAUCAAUGCCGCUUCCAAUCCCCUUUUUCACGUCGUCUCAGUUCGCCGUAUAAUCCGUUCACUUCUCAACCUUUAAGGUUCGCGAUGUCUUCACAAUCAUACAAUUCCAGCCUGAGGGAGAGAGAGAGUUAGACAGCCGCCAGCAGCGCACCAAGACGGGCACAACACAGUGCUUCACACACACCAGAAAGAGCGCCCAGACUGUGAAAUAACUUGGCCUUAAGUACUGCCUUGUCCAGCGUAUCCUCCAAUCACCAACCGCUGUCCCUAACUAGGCACAGGUGCAUCGAAUUCCCUGAUUUUCCUUCUUACGGCGCUACCGGAAAUUCCGGUGUUCUGUUUUUCCGGUCCGGGCGGAAACACUUCCGGGCGGAACCAAACUUCCCGAAUUUUGGUUCCGCCCCUAAAGAUCGUCACCUUGUGACAUACAGAGCCACUGAAAUGCAGUUGACAUCUAACCAGAAGUGUAAAUAGCAAUGUAUGUAUGCAUAUGUGAUAUAUAUAUUUAAAGUAACAGUUGUGGUUUAUAUCCUGCCACACCAUUAAUCAUUAGCAUCAUCUUUAUGAUCUUUCAUCAAAUAGAGGUAAACGUUUUGCCAGUACAUGUCUGUUUCUGCUAUAA
ensembl:lncRNA